GUAAGGAAUAUUGGACAAUGGACGCAAGUCUGAUCCAGCCAUGCCGCGUGAAGGAUUAAGGUCCUCUGGAUUGUAAACUUCUUUUAUAAGGGACGAAAAAAGGCUUUUCUAAGUCGUCUGACGGUACCUUAUGAAUAAGCACCGGCUAACUCCGUGCCAGCAGCCGCGGUAAUACGGAGGGUGCAAGCGUUAUCCGGAUUCACUGGGUUUAAAGGGUGCGUAGGCGGGCAGGUAAGUCAGUGGUGAAAUCCUAGAGCUUAACUCUAGAACUGCCAUUGAUACUAUCUGUCUUGAAUAUUGUGGAGGUAAGCGGAAUAUGUCAUGUAGCGGUGAAAUGCUUAGAUAUGACAUAGAACACCUAUUGCGAAGGCAGCUUACUACACAUAUAUUGACGCUGAGGCACGAAAGCGUGGGGAUCAAACAGGAUUAGAUACCCGAGUAGUCC
rnacentral:rRNA from 1 species